rnacentral:rRNA from 1 species
UACAGAGGGUGCAAGCGUUAAUCGGAAUUACUGGGCGUAAAGCGUGCGUAGGCGGAACUUUAAGUCAGACGUGAAAUCCCUCGGCUUAACCGGGGAACUGCGUCUGAUACUGGAUGGCUUGAGUUUGGGAGAGGGAUGCGGAAUUCCAGGUGUAGCGGUGAAAUGCGUAGAUAUCAGGAGGAACACCGGUGGCGAAGGCGGGUCUCUGGGCCGAAAUUGACGCUGAGGAGCGAAAGCGUGGGGAGCAAACAGG